AACUUUUAACAAUGGAUCUCUUGGCUCUCGCAUCGAUGAAGAACGCAGCGAAAUGCGAUAAGUAAUGUGUAUUGCAGAUUUUCAGUGAAUCAUCGAAUCUUUGAACGCACCUUGCGCUCCUUGGUAUUCCGAGGAGCAUGCCUGUUUGAGGGUCAUCAAAUUCUCAACUCCAAGGGUUUCACGACCUUUUGGAGAUUGGGCUUGGACGGUCCGGCUGCAUAUAUGGUCAGCUCGACUCAAAUGCAUCAGCGGAAUUCAUCUUUUGCCUUCCCGACGUCAGUGUGAUAAUCAUGUUGCGCUGUCGUUUGCUCCUAAGAUUCCGCUUAUAAUGGAGUUUGGACAAAUAAUCUACAAAUUUGUCGUCAUAUUAGGUAGGAUUCCACGCUGACCUUAAGCAUAUAAAUAAGCGGAGGCU
rnacentral:misc_RNA from 1 species